rnacentral:rRNA from 1 species
AACAGGAUUAGAUACCCUGGUAGUCCACGCCGUAAACGAUGUCGACUUGGAGGUUGUUCCCUUGAGGAGUGGCUUCCGGAGCUAACGCGUUAAGUCGACCGCCUGGGGAGUACGGCCGCAAGGUUAAAACACAAAUGAAUUGACGGGGGCCCGCACAAGCGGUGGAGCAUGUGGUUUAAUUCGAUGCAACGCGAAGAACCUUACCUACUCUUGACAUCCAGCGAACUUUCCAGAGAUGGAUUGGUGCCUUCGGGAACGCUGAGACAGGUGCUGCAUGGCUGUCGUCAGCUCGUGUUGUGAAAUGUUGGGUUAAGUCCCGCAACGAGCGCAACCCUUAUCCUUUGUUGCCAGCGACUCGGUCGGGAACUCAAAGGAGACUGCCGGUGAUAAACCGGAGGAAGGUGGGGAUGACGUCAAGUCAUCAUGGCCCUUACGAGUAGGGCUACACACGUGCUACAAUGGCGCAUACAAAGAGAAGCGACCUCGCGAGAGCAAGCGGACCUCACAAAGUGCGUCGUAGUCCGGAUCGGAGUCUGCAACUCGACUCCGUGAAGUCGGAAUCGCUAGUAAUCGUGGAUCAGAAUGCCACGGUGAAUACGUUCCCGGGCCUUGUACACACCGCCCGUCACACCAUGGGAGUGGGUUGCAAAAGAAGUAGGUAGCUUAACCUUCGGGAGGGCGCUUACCACUUUGUGAUUCAUGACUGGGGUGAAGUCGUAACAAGGUAACC